rnacentral:rRNA from 1 species
AGCGAACGCUGGCGGCAGGCUUAACACAUGCAAGUCGAGCGGGCGUAGCAAUACGUCAGCGGCAGACGGGUGAGUAACGCGUGGGAACGUACCUUUUGGUUCGGAACAACACAGGGAAACUUGUGCUAAUACCGGAUAAGCCCUUACGGGGAAAGAUUUAUCGCCGAAAGAUCGGCCCGCGUCUGAUUAGCUAGUUGGUGAGGUAACGGCUCACCAAGGCGACGAUCAGUAGCUGGUCUGAGAGGAUGAUCAGCCACAUUGGGACUGAGACACGGCCCAAACUCCUACGGGAGGCAGCAGUGGGGAAUAUUGGACAAUGGGCGCAAGCCUGAUCCAGCCAUGCCGCGUGAGUGAUGAA